UGGAUGCUUUUUAAAAAAAGUCCUUAAUGUCCUUUUAGGUUUAUAUUUUAUUUUAUUUUUUAAUUUUAUUUAUUUAUCUGACAGAGAGAAAAAGUGAGAGAGCAAGAGUGGAGUGAGGGGCUGAAGGAGAAGCAGACUCCCCAUUGAGCAGGGAGCCCAAUGAAGAGCUCCAUCCUGGAACUCCAGGAUUAUGACCUGAGCUGAAGGUCAUAUGAACAAAGGGAAGAACUUCUAAAGUAAUGGAAUGAGAAUGGGUGGAUUCUGUCAAAUGUAGAUCCAAAUCCUGAUCCUGUCCCUAAUUAGCUAUAGCUGUGUCAUCUGGGGCGCGUCUGUAAUAACAGGAAAGCCACAAAAUAUUUGAAGACUAAAGAGAGAGUCUGAUGUUCAGCUGUUCCGUGGAUACAACAUGGGUUUCUUCGGAGUCUUCUUUCAUGUCAUCUUUGCAUCUUAAAAAGUAUGUCAAGAAUCUUCAAGGUUCUAAUUUUAAAGUGUCUUCAAACAUCAUAAUCACUGUAUUAAGACACAAAAAAAAAAGAGAACAAAGAGUUGAAGAGGCGAUGGGAUUCAAGAGAGCGCUAUUAAUAAUGAAAUUUUUCUUUGCCAGGCCCUGGAAUCUUAAUUUUGCCCCCUUAAUCCAGCAAGUCUGUUAA
rnacentral:lncRNA from 1 species